rnacentral:rRNA from 1 species
UACGUAGGGCGCAAGCGUUGUCCGGAUUUAUUGGGCGUAAAGAGCGUGUAGGCGGCCAGGUAGGUCUGCUGUGAAAACUCGAGGCUCAACCUCGAGACGCCGAUGGAAACCAUCUAACUAGAGUCCGGAAGAGGAGAGUGGAAUUCCUGGUGUAGCGGUGAAAUGCGCAGAGUAUCAGGAAGAACACCCGUGGCUAAGGCGGCUCUCUAGUACGGUACUGACGCUGAGACGCGAAAGCGUGGGGAGCGAACAGG